rnacentral:rRNA from 1 species
AGGAACACAUCGGAAUCUACCCUGUCGUGGGGGACAACGUAGGGAAACUUACGCUAAUACCGCAUACGACCUUUGGGUGAAAGCGGGGGACUCGCAAGAGCCUCGCGCGAUUGGAUGAGCCGAUGUCCGAUUAGCUAGUUGGCGGGGUAAUGGCCCACCAAGGCGACGAUCGGUAGCUGGUCUGAGAGGAUGAUCAGCCACACUGGUACUGGAACACGGACCAG